CCGAGUCCCGACGCAACCCCCCCCAGCGUCGGGGCUCAUCCCGAGCCGGGCUUCGGCACCUACCCCCCCCAGGUGCCGGGGCCCGGCUCUUUU
rnacentral:ncRNA from 1 species